rnacentral:rRNA from 3 species
GAGGAAGUAAAAGUCGUAACAAGGUCUCCGUUGGUGAACCAGCGGAGGGAUCAUUAC